rnacentral:rRNA from 1 species
UACGUAGGUGGCAAGCGUUGUCCGGAUUUAUUGGGUUUAAAGGGUGCGUAGGCGGCCCGGUAAGUCAGUGGUGAAAUCUCCUUGCUUAACAAGGAAACUGCCAUUGAUACUGCUGGGCUUGAGUACAGAUGCUGUGGGCGGAAUAUGACAUGUAGUGGUGAAAUACUUAGAUAUGACAUAGAACACCGAUAGCGAAGGCAGCUUACUACAGGAUGAUUGACGCUGAGGCACGAAAGCGUGGGGAGCAAACAGG